UACGUAGGGUGCGAGCGUUAAUCGGAAUUACUGGGCGUAAAGCGUGCGCAGGCGGUUCGCUAAGACCGAUGUGAAAUCCCCGGGCUUAACCUGGGAAUUGCGAUGGAGACUGCAAGGCUGGAGUCUGGCAGAGGGGGGUAGAAUUCCACGUGUAGCAGUGAAAUGCGUAGAGAUGUGGAGGAACACCGAUGGCGAAGGCAGCCCCCUGGGUCAAGACUGACGCUCAUGCACGAAAGCGUGGGGAGCAAACAGG
rnacentral:rRNA from 1 species